rnacentral:rRNA from 1 species
CCCGCACAAGCGGAGGAGCAUGUGUUUAAUUCGAUGAUACGCGAGGAACCUUACCUGGGCUCGAACGUAAGAUGACUGUAGGUGAAAGCUUACAUCUCUUCGGAGCAUUUUACGAGGUGCUGCAUGGUUGUCGUCAGCUCGUGCCGUGAGGUGUCGGGUUAAGUCCCAUAACGAGCGCAACCCCUACCUUUAGUUGCCAUCAGGUAAUGCUGGGGACUCUAAAGGAACUGCCUACGCAAGUAGUGAGGAAGGCGGGGAUGACGUCAAAUCAGCACGGCCCUUACGUCCAGGGCUACACACGUGCUACAAUGGCCGAUACAGAGGGCAGCUACCUGGUGACAGGAUGCAAAUCUCCAAAGUCGGUCUCAGUUCGGAUCGGAGUCUGCAACCCGACUCCGUGAAGUUGGAUUCGCUAGUAAUCGCGCAUCAGCCAUGGCGCGGUGAAUACGUUCCCGGGCCUU